rfam:Tauraco erythrolophus contig113490, whole genome shotgun sequence.
UCCCUGGUGGUCUAGUGGUCAGGAUUCAGCACUCUCACUGCUGCGGCCUGGGUUCGAUUCCCAGCCAGGGAA